GAGUUUGAUCCUGGCUCAGAUUGAACGCUGGCGGCAUGCCUAACACAUGCAAGUCGAACGGCAGCGGGUCGUAGCAAUACGAUGCCGGCGAGUGGCGGACGGGUGAGGAAUACAUAGGAAUCUACCCUGUCGUGGGGGAUAACGUAGGGAAACUUACGCUAAUACCGCAUACGACCGAGAGGUGAAAGCGGCGGACCGCAAGGCGUCGCGCGGCUGGAUGAGCCUAUGUCCGAUUAGCUAGUUGGCGGGGUAAGAGCCCACCAAGGCGACGAUCGGUAGCUGGUCUGAGAGGAUGAUCAGCCACACUGGGACUGAGACACGGCCCAGACCCCUACGGGAGGCAGCAGUGGGGAAUUUUGGACAAUGGGCGCAAGCCUGAUCCAGCCAUGCCGCGUGCGGGGAGAAGGCCCUCGGGUUGUAAA
rnacentral:rRNA from 1 species